rnacentral:rRNA from 1 species
UACGAAGGGGACUAGCGUUGUUCGGAAUUACUGGGCGUAAAGCGCACGUAGGCGGCUUUCUAAGUCAGGGGUGAAAUCCUGGAGCUCAACUCCAGAACUGCCUUUGAUACUGGAGAGCUUGAGUCCGGGAGAGGUGAGUGGAACUGCGAGUGUAGAGGUGAAAUUCGUAGAUAUUCGCAAGAACACCAGUGGCGAAGGCGGCUCACUGGCCCGAUACUGACGCUGAGGCACGAAAGCGUGGGGAGCAAACAGG